rnacentral:ncRNA from 2 species
AUAGUGUCCGCUGUAGCUGGUUCGGUGCCCAUCCAGGGCGGCCGAGGCAAGAGGGAAUCCGGUGCGAGACCGGAACUGCCCCGCAGCGGUGAGUGGGAACGACCGCCGUCACGAAGCACUGGGCCGAGCAUGCCCGGGAAGCGACGGCCAGUAGGAACGAGGCUUGACGCCCACGAGUCCGAAGACCUGCCAGCGCGCCGUCCACGUA